GGAAACUGCAAUCCUCCUGCCCUGCUCUCUUGCGCUCCGUCUACUGAUGCUGGGAGCCGGAAUAUGACAUCAGAGUAGGAGGGUUACAGCUCCCUUGCCGCCUUUGAUAUGCUCACAGCCACCUGUCUCACUGCAGCCCCACUGGACAGUGACAAAUCCACUCCUGCUCUCCCAAAUGUGGGGAAGGCUGGGUGGACAAAUUUAAAUAAUAUUAGUAAUUUGUGAGUGUGUGUGAGAGAAUGUGUGUAUGUUUGUCAGUGAAUUUGUAUGUGUAUGUGAGAUUCUGUCACAUCAGUGAGAGUCUGUGUUUGUCAUUGAGUGCUUGUGUGCCUGUCAGUGUGUGUUUGUCAGUGAGUGAAUGUGUGUAUGUCGAGUCAGUCAGUGACAACUGUGUGUUUGUCAUUGAAUGUGUGUGUGAAUGUCAGUGUGUAUGUCAGUAGGUGUGUGCUAGUUAAACAGUGUGUGAGACAAUGACUGUCAGUGAGUGUGUAUCAGUGAGG